ACCUACGGGGGGCAGCAGUGGGGAAUAUUGCCCAAUGGGGGAAACCCUGAUGCAGCAACGCCGCGGGAGUGAAGAAGUAUUUCGGUAUGUAAAGCUCUAUCAGCAGGGAAGAGAAUGACGGUACCUGACUAAGAAGCCCCGGCUAACUACGUGCCAGCAGCCGCGGGAAUACGUAGGGGGCAAGCGUUAUCCGGAUUUACUGGGUGUAAAGGGAGCGUAGACGGAUGGCAAAGUAUGAGGUGAAAGCCCGGGUGUUAACCCCG
rnacentral:rRNA from 1 species